ensembl:lncRNA
UUUUAGAACCUUCAGAGGGUUUUCUAUCCAAAUAUACUAAUAAUAUGCAUAUCUUAGCUUCUGGGACUGAGUAGCAGGCAGUUUACUCUGGGCACCUCUGGACAAGAAGAUAAUAAGAAGCCAUAAGAAGAUAAAAGACUCAUCUAUGUAUCUGUGCCAAUAUAGUGUCUGUGACAGCAUGGGCAGCGCCAUUGAGGCUAUCUUCACAUUAAAGUAGUAACAUUUCUUCUUCACAAUUGUCUGAGCCCUUCUGAGGACCCGAUUGGACAUGACUUCAACAGGGUCACCAGUAGGGCUCAGCCAAAUGAAGUUGGUAGUCCCACCCAGUUGACUACAUUCAAAUUGUGAAAGUGCAUGAAAUGCAGCAUUUUGGCCAUUAGAAGCCAAUAUCUUUCUCUCUGUCUGGGCUACAAUUGUAGACGGUUGGGUAAUUAUGCUUUUCACCUGUGAAAGGCUGUUGUGCUGCUAAUGAGGGAGUUCUAUUAACCUGAGCCGAGGUGCACCGGUCCAUGGCCCCUGACAUGAAUGGAUAAAAGCGGUGAGGGCGGAGCACCCUUCUAAAAUUGAACAGUAGCCUUACAUUUAGGUUUUUGUCCUAACACUACACAGCUGAUUCAGAUUAACAAAGCUGGAUGAUUAUUUGAAUCAGCUUUGUAGGGCUAGGGGAAUAAAAAGAAAAUGUGCAGCCCUUUGGGGUUCAGGUGACUGAGUGUGGGAAGCCUUUGUCAUAGGGUAAAAGUUGCAUACCCCUGGGCUGUAGGCUGCACACUUUGGGUCAAAUAUCAGGUUCUGUAGCUGGGUAUUUUAUCAGAACAAAUCUGUUCUACAAUGAUUAUUUUCCUUAGCUCAGGGUUGUUUUGCCUAUUGAUGGCAGCUGUGGGCAUACAAGCACAACAGACACCUUCUAUAAAUGACCUCAACGCUGAAUGCCUUGGUAACGUUAUUCGUUUGAGUGUCGCUCCUCUUUUUGAAGAGGUUGACGCUGUCUUCAGUGAGUUUGCCUCUUAUGAUUCUCUUUCUCUCCUUUCAUAAUUCAUGGCUUGAUAUUGCUUGUCAUCUAUUGUGUUCACACCAUCUCCAUCCCUUCCAGAUGACACACAGAUCAUAAACCUGACGCCUGGCCUUGCUACUCAGUGUGGAUUCAGCUUUAAAUUUGACCCCAUGGGGAAUGCCAUGUUUUUUGCUUCUCUUCAAAACUGCUUUUCCCAAAACAUGGUAACCCUAAGAACUGUAGUGUUUGCUUGUACUUCAAAUGGACAGUUUGCCUUUCAGUGUCACUGCAUUUGCAACUCAUAAUGUAGCAAUGUCAUUUUAUUUACCUUUGACGUGGAGUCAUGCUGAGACCAGGCUCUUUUACAGAUGAGCCCUGUCUACACAAAGAUACAAGUCGAUAUUUGCAUCACUAGAUGGAAAAAUGAAAUAACUGAACCCAUUCUUCAGUAAAAAGGUCCUCAAUAAGCCUGAGUUGCCGAAGUCCGGUUCCAGAAACAUUGACGCAGUUUUACUUAACUCUGUGGAUAUCAAAAGGAUCUCCAUUGUUAGCCACCCCUUGGUCUGGUAUCUCUUACCUCUAAGUUAACGAUGACGUAAGGUACAGCAGAAGUUUAUGGAGGGCUUUCAGAGGGCCAGCCAACUUUCUGAUAGACUGCAGUGAUGUGAACUAUUGAGCUCUACUCCUGUAGUGUGGCUUCAAUACAGUGGCAGCUGCAUUCAUAUAGCCAAUUUUGCCACAGUCUAUAACUUGCAUGAAUGUCACCUGAAUUUAGUUUUUUUGCUAUAUAAUGAAGGCUUUUUUCCCUUCCCCCUUCAUUUUAGGAUGAUAAGAUGUUCAGCUUGGUCAUGCAGUUCAGGCUGCCAGGAAACCACAUGACUGAAGACCCUGUUUAUAGAGUGGGCAAAACCUGUAGCUACACCCCCUGGACCUCCCGAGAGAUUCUGUGCGACCGCAACUACAUGGAGGCAAGUGAGCAGAGCAUGCCCCAAUGGACAUGUUUACAGUCCCGCUUGUCGUACUGCCUGUAUAAAUGAUCUGUCUAGAGCUACAACUGUCCAGUGUUUCAUUUCUUCUGCGACACAACGUAGAGGUCUUGACUCUCUCAAUUCCACUCGCGUCUUCAAAAUGCACAUAGGAGAACUUUAGAGGUGAGGAAUUUUGGCCUAUUCUCAAUGCAUUUAAGGAGGCGAGUGGACAGAUUUCUGAACUGGCCCUUGAUUUCCUCUUGUAUGGGAGGGAGAAAAUGCAUAGGGAAUAAUGGCCUUUCUUCUCUAGGUGUCUGUCAGAAGGACUCUUCCAGACAUCCAAACCAUCCCCAAACAGCCCACUGGGGGCCCGAAAGCAAGGAGCGGCAACUUCCGGAGGGGAGCUGAGGUUUAUAUAUUUCAGUUUCUGUAA